UCCAUUUUGUUCAACCCGGUCUACUAUC
rnacentral:sRNA from 1 species